rnacentral:rRNA from 1 species
CCUACGGGUGGCAGCAGUGGGGAAUAUUGCACAAUGGGCGCAAGCCUGAUGCAGCCAUGCCGCGUGUGUGAAGAAGGCCUUCGGGUUGUAAAGCACUUUCAGCGGGGAGGAAGGCGUUAAGGUUAAUAACCUUGUCGAUUGACGUUACCCGCAGAAGAAGCACCGGCUAACUCCGUGCCAGCAGCCGCGGUAAUACGGAGGGUGCAAGCGUUAAUCGGAAUUACUGGGCGUAAAGCGCACGCAGGCGGCCUGUCAAGUCGGAUGUGAAAUCCCCGGGCUCAACCUGGGAACUGCAUUCGAAACUGGCAGGCUAGAGUCUUGUAGAGGGGGGUAGAAUUCCAGGUGUAGCGGUGAAAUGCGUAGAGAUCUGGAGGAAUACCGGUGGCGAAGGCGGCCCCCUGGACAAAGACUGACGCUCAGGUGCGAAAGCGUGGGGAGCAAACAGGAUUAGAUACCCCUGUAGUC